CGCCUCUGGCAAUGGGCAAAGAGGCACCUUGUUGGUGAUGAUUUUCUUCUAUCAGUCAAGGGCAGGGCAGGUGGCAGCUCUUUGUUCAUCCUAACUUGAUGCCUGGCUUGGUUGCCAAAGCUGCCUUAUGCCUAGGACUCAUAA